AUUGAACGCUGGCGGCAUGCCUUACACAUGCAAGUCGAACGGCAGCGGGCCUUCGGGUGCCGGCGAGUGGCGAACGGGUGAGUAAUGCAUCGGAACGUGCCAUUGAGUGGGGGAUAACGUAGCGAAAGUUACGCUAAUACCGCAUAUUCUGUGAGCAGGAAAGCAGGGGACCGCAAGGCCUUGCGCUCUUUGAGCGGCCGAUGUCAGAUUAGCUAGUUGGUGAGGUAAAGGCUUACCAAGGCGACGAUCUGUAGCGGGUCUGAGAGGAUGAUCCGCCACACUGGAACUGAGACACGGUCCAGACUCCUACGGAG
rnacentral:rRNA from 1 species